CACUUUUUGAAUCCGUGCUGAGAUUUCGUCAGACAUCAAGCUAUUAGAGCUAAUCAAACUUCGAAGAUUAGUGAAGUU
rfam:Schistosoma rodhaini strain Burundi genome assembly, scaffold: SROB_scaffold0000084